rnacentral:lncRNA from 1 species
CAUUCUUCACACAGCGCUUACGAGUUUCUGAAGUCUUUAUUGAUACACUGCACACCUUCACACCUCCAUGAGAAGAAAACAGUAGAUUUAUAUUAGAAACUGUAUUGAAAAAUGUCUACUUCAAACACACUCAAAGGACUUUCCGGUUGUUUUAUUGCUAUGCCAGAAUACCUUCAUCUAACUGAAAUAACUUGGACUAAGCAAGAGACAAAAACCUAACAGGCCAGGCCUGGGUCCAAUAGUGAAGAACGAAAAGAUUGUUCUUGAGGCCUGGUCAAUAUCAAUGUAAGCAUCACAAUGAAGGAAAACAUGACCACAUAAAUAAUUAACAACAGGGAGGCUGAUUUCCUUUUGAGAGGAAAAAUUUUUAAAAACCUGAAAAAUUGAGAGCAUAAAUAGAAACAAACCCAUGUAAUCAUGUAAGUACAGUGCCUGCCACAAAGUUAACACUAUCUUUUCAAUCAACAGUGAAAGAAAAAAUAAUUGUUGAGACAGUAUCUUU